rnacentral:rRNA from 1 species
CCUACGGGAGGCAGCAGUGAGGAAUAUUGGUCAAUGGGCGCGAGCCUGAACCAGCCAAGUAGCGUGAAGGAUGACUGCCCUACGGGUUGUAAACUUCUUUUAUAAAGGAAUAAAGUGCGGCACGUGUGCCUUUUUGUAUGUACUUUAUGAAUAAGGAUCGGCUAACUCCGUGCCAGCAGCCGCGGUAAUACGGAGGGUCCGAGCGUUAUCCGGAUUUAUUGGGUUUAAAGGGAGCGUAGAUGGGUUGUUAAGUCAGUUGUGAAAGUUUGCGGCUCAACCGUAAAAUUGCAAUUGAUACUGGCAGGCUGGAGUACAGUUGGGGUAGGCGGAAUUCGUGGUGUAGCGGUGAAAUGCGUAGAUAUCACGAAGAACUCCGAUUGCGAAGGCAGCUUACUAAACUGCGACUGACAUUGAUGCGCGAAAGUGUGGGUAUCAAACAGGAUUAGAUACCCCGGUAGUC